AUAAACAAAGGUUAGUCAAUACAACAAAUAAACCAUAAAAGAGGGAAAUAAAGGAAUAAACAAAUUUGAACUCUUAUCCAAACUUCAAGCCAUUGGGCUGUCAAGCCCAGAUUUCCUUUUCCUAUCCAAACUCCAAAAAAUAUAGUAUACAUUAGAUGUAUACAGGCUGUAUCUCGGCCCAUUUUGUGUAUAUUGGGUUGUAUACCAAACGUAUAGUGCCUACUAUAAACUCCGGCACCUGUAUCCUGCACCUCAGACCUGUAUUUCAAAAUUUAGACCUGUAUAUCAGCUGUAUACUGUUGACAGCCUAUUUUUAAACUAUUUGAGGCCCGUCUAAGCUUCAUUUAACAUGUAUUUCAGCUUCCAACUUCCCAAAGAUAGUCAAGGCUUGACUCGAAGAAAUUAAACUCAAAAAAAUGCAAGGAUGGAGUCCAAAGUGGACUCGAAUUGAUGUCACAUGCGAUAAAAGAAAAAUAAUAAUAAUAAGGAUUAGCAUAACACCCCAAAAAAUAAACAAAGAAGAGUAAAGAGACACAUUGGUUCAAAUUGCCUAUCGACAAGAAACGAAGGAUAACAAUUCGGAAAGUAAAUAAUUUAAAAGAGAUAAUUGAAAGGGAACCGUGAUCAUUCAUAUUAUAACAAUCAACAUCAACAACUGGCAACAUGUGAAAAGUAAAGCAUAUUUACUUAUUGAUUUUUAUUUUUUUUAGUAAAAAUAUAAGGACUACAUAGAUAGUAAUAAACAAACAAACAAAUUCAGAGCACUUACUCAUAAUCUCAAACAUGAUUAAUGCUACACAAAUUGAAGCUGUACAACUUUAAAUGCUAGAAAUCAUCUACCGUUACACAAUAAUGAAACUAUCAACAAUCUUGAAGUAAAAUACUUAACAGAGAAAGCCAAGGAGGUCAAUCUUACACUUCGACUAUUGAGCUCGUUUAAUCACAUCAAACAAAUAGUUGAUACUUAUCAGGAAGAUAAAAUUCAUUUAACAUAAUCAAAUAGAAUGUAGAUGCUUAAUACACUCACAUAGUCAGGAAACAAUGUUUUUCAUGGAAAGGGUGAGAGGUUUUAGCAUCGAGGUUGUGGAUUAUGGAAACAAGCGAGUUAUAAUGACACCACACCUUGAAACCAAAAGAAACAAAACAAUAACAAGACAUGGAUAACACUCAAGUAUGUAAAAGCAGAGAAUAUAUUUAACUAUAGCACGAGAUUGAGCUAAUAUAAAUUAGAGUCUAUCAUAGUGAAUAAAAACGAUAGAGAGGAUACCCAAUCGAACUUAUACAGAUAGCAUAUUCAAAGUCGAAACCAAUUGAACAGUACAUCAUUUUGAUACCCUGUUGAACCAGCGAAUCUAACGACUAACAUCUUAAUACCAAAGAAGCUUUAUCAAAACUUGAGUCACGUGCCUAGAAAUUCAUAAAAACAACAGUAAAGAAAACAGCAAGACGAGGAACCAAACGCACUUAAUAGUAGGACUUGUAGUAAAGCUCGGACAUACAACACAUUAUACCGAAAUAAAAUGUAAGAAGAGGCAAAAUUACUUUCUUUGGAGCAGCGUUCCGGGACAGAUACAAGCUGGAUUUUGAAUUUUCCACCACACAGAUUCAAAGCUCGAACAACACACCAAGAGAAUCCAAAUGAAACCCGAAUAAUAAACUUUCUGAAACUCUUAAACUAGAGAGUCUUCCAAGAAAUUUUCAAAAUGUAAAAUUGACUAUUCCCAGAUCUUUGUAAGCUAUAUUUCGUGAGUAAAUUCUGGCCAACUCUAUAUCUCUUCUAAAUUUUUCUCCCAACUUUUUUCUCUCCCUCAACAAAGAAGAAGAGGGGGUUUAUAUAGGGGAAUUCUAAGGUUUGGAAUAGGGGGGAAAACGGGUGAAGAAUUGGGUCAAAUUCGAAAUCUCUUGAGGAUAAGGCUGCUAACUCGAAUUGUUACAAAUCUCCAAUGGAUUAAUGAUCUAGGCGCUUAAUUUUUUAGAGGAGUACGAACGAGAUGCGAGAUUGCUCCAUCUGGACUGAUUCGAGAAUAUUCUCUGACGAAGGGGAUAAGGAAGAGAGGAGAGAGCUCACGCGAUGGACUCGGGUUCGCGUUGCUAGGCUGCUCGCGAUUCUGGACUGGUUUUGCUACUGGAUUUGCAGCGUACUGGUCUGGGUUCAAUUUUUCUGGGUUUGUUCGCGAUUCUACUCGCUGAGGAAGAAGAGAUCGCGUAUGGGAGUGGGUCGGGUUCGCUUUUGGUGUACGUAUGUUGCUGCUGGAAUGUGUAUGGGAUGAUUUUGGUAUGUUGUAUUGUAUUGUUUUGAGAAUAAGGGAAUUAGGAAAG
rnacentral:lncRNA from 1 species